AUCUGCUUCUGGUUCUACUAGACUCAAACCAAAUCCCAACUUCUUGAAUUCUCCUAGUCAAAGUGAUGGGGUCCAGUACAAUGAGUUAACAUGUCUACCUAACAAUGUGAUCAAACUGGAUAAAGUAUCUAAAAUAUUUGCAAGUCUCUCCUAUAUGUUAGGAAGGUUUGAGUCUCUUCAUUAUCUUCUCUUUGAUGUUCUCCUCUUAAUUAAAUGAAUGAGACCUGACAUCCUCCGGAAAGGAACAGUAUUGGUCCUCUAGUAUCUCUUGUAUUGAAGAACCAGGAGACCACAUGUGACGGCCAACCUCUCCCUCGUCCCUCAAGAUCCCCUCGUGACCAUACAAGUAAGGAUGAGGAGUGGGUGGAGUGAGGGGAGGUGUGGUGAGAAAGGAAGUUGUGAUGAUGAAAGCUAUGCUACCUCCUGAGUAAGAAUAUUAUUAAUGUGUCUUUUA